rnacentral:rRNA from 1 species
GGGUCAGUAGGUUGGUCGUGCCACCGGUACGUACUGGUCUCACUGAUCCCUCCUUCCUGAAGAACCGUAAUGCCAUUAAUUUGGUGUUGCGGGGAAACAGGACUGUUACUUUGAAAAAAUUAGAGUGUUUAAAGCAAGCUAACGCUUGAAUACAUUAGCAUGGAAUAAUGAAAUAGGACGAACGAUCCUAUUUUGUUGGUUUCUAGGAUUGACGUA